rnacentral:rRNA from 1 species
CUGGAAUGGGCAAUGACUUAAAUCUAUAUGGCCCCUGGAUUGGACUGCGGCCGAUCAGGCUGUUGGUGAGGUAAUGGCCCACCAAACCUGUAACCGGUACGGGCUCUGAGAGGAGGAGCCCGGAGAUGGGCACUGAGACAAGGGCCCAGGCCCUAUGGGGCGCAGCAGGCGCGAAACCUCUGCAAUAGGCGAAAGCCUGACAGGGUUACUCUGAGUGAUUUCCGUUAAGGAGAUCUUUUGGCACCUCUAAAAAUGGUGCAGAAUAAGGGGUGGGCAAGUCUGGUGUCAGCCGCCGCGGUAAUACCAGCACCCCGAGUGGUCGGGACGUUUAUUGGGCCUAAAGCAUCCGUAGUCGGUUCUGCAAGUCUUCCGUUAAAUCCACCUGCUUAACAGAUGGGCUGCGGAAGAUACUAUAGAGCUAGGAGGCGGGAGAGGCAAGCGGUACUCGAUGGGUAGGGGUAAAAUCCGUUGAUCCAUUGAAGACCACCAGUGGCGAAGGCGGCUUGCCAGAACGCGCUCGACGGUGAGGGAUGAAAGCUGGGGGAGCAAACCGGAUUAGAUACCCGGGUAGUCCCAGCUGUAAACGAUGCAGACUCGGUGAUGAAUUGGCUUUAUGCCAAUUCAGUGCCGCAGGGAAGCCGUUAAGUUUGCCGCCUGGGGAGUACGGUCGCAAGACUGAAACUUAAAGGAAUUGGCGGGGGAGCACCACAAGGGGUGAAGCCUGCGGUUCAAUUGGACUCAACGCCGGA